rnacentral:lncRNA from 1 species
UAAUGCCACACACGUGGCCCUAAAAAGAAAGAAAAGAAAAGUGUAUGCAGUAUACAAAUUACAAUAGUGUAGCAUGGAUUUUGAGCACAACCAGUUUUCUCCUCAUUUAUUAAGUACUGGUAGGGAAGCAGGAAAGGAUUAAAUUGUGGUAUUUAAUACCUGGAAGCUCUCCUGGAGUUCAAACACCAGUCUCCUCUGCAGUGUUUGGACAAGGUCUUUCCACAGAGGCCUGAAUGCUCAGUAUUGGAAUAGCACGCUGUUGUCUCCCAGGGCAGGUGAUUCUAGGUUUAUAAUAGGUUCUUCCUUUUCUUCAGUAGAUAGUUUCCCACUUGUAAUCUUCCUUCCAGUUUUACCAUAUGCUAUAACUUGAGACUUUAGAGGGAGGUCAAAUCCUCACUUUUUACAACAGUUCCUCAUAUGUUUUGAGAUAAGUUACUGUGUCCUUCGUGUUUCCCGGGUUAAGCAUCUCCUGGUACUUGGAGUUGCUUCUCAACUUUAAUCUCUGUCCGUUCUGCUUAUUCUUGUUUCUAGAGUGUUUUUUUCUAAUCCCUCUCCACGCAUGGCACCUGGCAUUCCUGCGUUGCCUGUAGUACGGUGGCUAUGCUCCAACCAGACUGGAGGUGGCUUUAGCUUCCAUUUUGUAGGUACCAUACUUGUGUUGAUAGGAACCAAUACAAGGAUUCUCUGCUUUUUUUUUUUUCUUUUUUAGAUAACAUAAACCUUUAUUUUUUACAAUAGUUUUAGAUUGUAAAGUUGAAAGUACAGAGUUCUCAUGUAUUGUCUAAGCGAUUUCUCUUAUUGUAAACAUUUUAUGUUAUUGUGACACAUACAGCACAAUUAAUGACCCGGCACUGGUACAUUGCUUUAACUAAACUCUGUAUGUCAUUUGGAUUUCCUUAGUUUUUAGGGAAAAUGUCUUUUUUUCUGUUCCGGGAUCCUAUCCAGAAUACACAUUUACAUUUAGUUGUCAUGUCUCAUUAGGUUCUCCUGGAUUGUAACAGCUUCUCAGAGUUUCCUUGUUUUCUGUGACCUUGAAAGUCAGGUGUUUUGUAGAACAUCCCUCAGUUUGUGUUUUUCUUAGGGCUGGACUGGGGUUAUGGGUUUUGGGGGAGGAAGAUCCCAAAGGUGAAGUGUCAUUCUUAUCACAUCAUGUCAAGGGCACAUGCUGUCAACAUGACUUAUCACUGAUGACAUUAACCUUGAUCACCUGGCUCAGGUUUCCCAUUGUAAAUUUACUUUUUUUCUCCCUCUCCAUCCUGUGGUCUUCAGAGCCCACAGUUAAGAGGUGAGGAGUUAAACUCCACCUCCUUUAGGUGGAGUAUGUAUACUGAUUAUAUGAAAUUCUAUGUAGGAGAUUUGUCGCUUUUUCCCAUUUAUUUAUCUAUUCAGUCAUUUAUUUAUGUCAGUGUGAACUCAUGGAUAGUUAUUUGAUACUUUGGAUUAUAAUCCAAUAGUAUGUUGUUUUUAUGCAUUGCUCCCUUUGGCCCUUUUCAGGUUGGCUUCUAUGUGUCUUUGAUACACACCCAUCAUUUUAUUUUUUUUCUGUGCUCUAAAAAUCUGUGCUGCUGCUAACAUGUGAAUCUCCAAUCUUAAAUUGUGCUAAUAUUUUUGGGGAGAUUGUGGGCAUAAAAACAGGUCUUAAGAUUAUCCUUAUUACAUUUCAUCUUCCUAAGAAGAUGUCUCCCCUUAGCAUCAUUUCUUGCCAAUGAUAGCAAUAACCUGGCCCUUGAACUUCCCUCUGACCUCCCUCGUCUGUACUACAUGUGAUUUUUUCAACAGCAGUCAGAGUGAUCUUUCUAAACAAGACAGUCAUGUUGCUCUUCCCCGUAUCAAUAUAUAAUUACAUGAUCUGAUUCUUGAUUAUCUCUCUGAUCUCCACUCUCAACUGUUACUUCUCUCACUCAGUAUAUUUGAGCUACAUGACUAUCCUGUCUGUUCCUUAGAAAUGUCAAGUUUGUCCAUAUGAGGCUUUUCCAACAUUGGGCCUCUCUGCCAGGAAUGUUCUUUCCUCAUACUUUCAAAUGAGUUAUUUUUCCUUACUGUUCAGAUCUUAGUUCAAAUGGCACCACGUCAAGGAGGCCUUUUUUUUCCUGAAUCGCUUCAGUCUCUCUUUAUCACAUAGCCAUGUUUUAUUUAUCUUCCAGCAAUCAUCACAGUGGAUAUUUUCUUCAUAAUUUAUUAGCUUACUUAUCUUCUGCUUCUCCCACCAUUACACUGUAACAGGUCUUAUAGCUCUUGUUCAUAGCUGUCUCUCAGUGCGUAAAGCAGUUCCUGGCACAUAGGAGGUGCUCAAUAAAUGUUUGUUAAAGGUUGAUGGCUAAAGGGCCAGUUGUUUCUUCUUAGUGACACUUAUCUCUGGUGUCUCCUUAAUCCAUUAGCCCUUAUGUUGUGGUACUUUGUUCCUUCAUGUUAUUGUCUUUUGUAAGAUGGCAUUGUGUAGUUCUGAUUAAGAGCUUACAAUAAUUCUUCAGAUAACAUGUCGGGCCUGUCAUAAGGAAUGUUCUCCUUGGGAAAUCAAGCUAACCCUCUUCCCAUUAACACUUGCUUCUACCCUGGAAACCCAGGUCCUCCCUGGGACCCAAUUCCUUUGCAGAUCACCAGGCCAAGGUCGGAGAGAUAGAGGCAGAAUGUGGAGCCACCAAAACUUUUUUCUAAAUAAUAUCAGUUAAGGUAGAAGUUCUCUCUCGAUGUAGUUCAAAUUUUAUAACCUUAGCUAUUUAUUUUAUUAUCCAGCUUAUAUCUCUGUCUUGACCUUAACAAAAUCAGCAGGAAGUCAGUAUCUUAACUGAAGCCAGAUUUAUUAUAUCUGAUGUAUUUUUUGUGUGGUAUUUACCACUUUAACCCAUUCUGACUCCUUAUGAUCCCUAUUUCCUAGUCUUAAUGCUCAAAACCCAUCUCUUUAAUAAUCUGAGAGUCUCUCUUUGGAUCUACACAAAACUCAGUAGUAUGUUGCUAUGAGAUUUGCUUUUUCCUUUUGCUACUUUGUUUUUACUCUCCUUGAACUCAUAUACGAUUACGUAUUUAAAAAAGAUUGAACAAGCUUUUCCAGCAAGCACAGUGUUUUACCGUGCUUAGGAGUAAAUUAAUUAGGUAUGUCUGCUACUAUUCUGAUUUGGCCACCAUAUAGCCUCCAUGGGCUGUGUGGCACUUUACAGUCACUAUAAAAUGACAAUUCCUCACUUAAGUCAGUGAUUCAUAAUUGUUUUAACUAAACUUAAAGAUAAGCACUUCAUAAUAGGGUGAGCACUGCUAUGGGCUAGCUCCACGGACUAAUGUUGGUUUCUAAAGCAACAUUCUACUGUAAAAUCAGUUACUGUUUUCAAUCCCAGUUCUUUCAGAUGGUAUGAAAUAUUUAUUAUUGCUGUGAUCUCCCUUCAGCUGAGGCAGUGCCCAGAGAGGGGCACAGCUGUGAGCUGUUUGUCUUCAAUACUGCUGGCAGCUGGGGCAGUGAGCUCUUCAGCACUGAAGGGAAGAUCAGUUGUGUGGACAGUACACAACAGCACUUCCUACAGGUGAAUUCAGAUAGAUUUCAUAUUCCAUUCCUAGCUUCCUAUUCUUAUGCCAUUUGCAUUCACCCUCAAAUUACACUUCUGUUUUUGCUUGAGGCAAUGUAUCUUCUCUGAGUAUCUCCUUCUUUAGUUUCCUCAUCUGUAGAGUGGGAUAGUUAUACACACAAAUGCUCACAUGCACACACACACACACACAUGCACACACACAAAUACACUGGCUUGACAUAUAGUUGAAAGCUUAAUGGAUGUUAGUUUCUUCUAGUCAGACUUUCGAAAUGCAUCUUUAACUGGGCUAAGGCCAUAACAAUUAGUUUAUAUAGACCUCUGUUCCUCUCUUUGAAACAGAAUAGUUCCCUUUUCUUGCAUCUUGUAGGCAUUUCAAGAAGGAUGUAGCAUUGAAAUAUAAAAUGUGUUUAGAGAACUUUCAAAAAUCAGCAACCUCCAACCAGCGCUAGCUCAACCCCUCCUGUCAACUUCGUAAGCUUCCUUGUUAAAUACCUGUUAGAAAACUUCAGGUUUUUGGAAGCUUCUCAAACUUCUAAAUAUUAGCAUUUAAUGGAUUAAUAAUAAAAAGAUUUACUGACCAAUCCUAUAUUCAUAGUUGACAGGAAAGCAGGGCAUUUUUGCUGCUAUUUUAGGUAGCCUUAUACUAGAAUGGGUGUUUAAAAAGCUGCUUUUCCUUGCUCUUUCAAAACAUUUUUUCCUGCAAAAGAAACUCAAGUCUCAACCUGUUCCAUUGAUAAUGCACAAUAAUGUAUGAUUCAAGUUAAUACUGAUUAUUGUGCAGCUUGGCCUACCAGGAGAUACUACCGUUCCUUCAGCUAACCAGUCUCAGUGCUUCUUUAUCAGACAUCUCUAAAACAGUGACGACUCAUUCUAGCAUCUUACAUGUGGGGAACAAAACAAACAGAUACUUGACUGAUGUCAACAACGCAUGUCCUUUUUUUUUCUUUGUAGGCACCUGGUUUAUGUAAAGAAGUAAACUGUCUAAGAUAUGACAAUCAAAUUGGUUUGGUGUGCCAACAGUUUGCAUUUAUUGGCUGGUACCAUGAAUUCAAUCAGUGAUUUUCAACAGGGUUUGAUGGAAAUCACUGAAUUCAUGUGGCAUCUUAGGUGUUUGUUAUUGAAAGAGACUGAAGUCAUGGUAACCACGUUACAGUCACCUCAUUUUUCAGUCUUUACUUCCUGGGCCCAUCUUAUCAUUUUAGGUUUACAAGGGGUUUUAAAAAAAUACUGUAAAGUGUUCACAUUUUGAAAACUUAACUAUUUCUGAAAAGAAGUGGUUGGCAUAUGAUGUCUUAGAUCAAUGUCAGGGUGUAGAAAACUUCCGUGUCUUCCUAUCUCCAUCAGAAUAAGAGCUAAUGUCCUUACAGUGUCUGUGAUGGCUGAUUUUUCUGGUUCCCUGGUUACUUCUUUAACACAUGAUAAACUCUUCCACCUCUGGCUCUCUCCCCACCAGCCACAAAAGCUUCCUCCAUAUUUGUCUAAGCUACUGGGGCAACUCCCACCUUUGAAUUUGCUCAUUUCUCACACACACCUCAGCUAAAUCAGUGAGUUGCUCUCUUACCUCCUUCAGGUCUGAUCACAUGUGACUUUCUCAUGACUGUCUCCCCUAACAACUUUUAAACUUUACUGCAACAGACUUCCUUUCGGAACAUCAUCUUUUUCCUUUGCUUUAUUUUUCUACCUGGAAUUUACUGUCCUCUGAUAUAUCGAGUGUUUAUUUGUUGUGUUUAUUGUCUCUUCUGCUCACAUGAAUGUAAUGUUCAUGGCUACAGGAAGUUUUGUGUGUUCUGUCCACCCCCGAGUUGCUAGUGCCUAAAAUAAUGCCUGCAACUAAAUAAAUUUUUUGUCAUAUGAAUGAAUUCAAGUAAGAUAAAAGCACAUAAUCUAUGUUGAAACACACCCAACAAGACGGCGAAUAUAGUCUGAACUAUGAUUGAGGUAGGACUGCAUUCUAACAGUAUAAAAAAUUUGUCUCUUUUACAAAUCUCAGCAGCUUGAAUUUUCAGAGGUACCUUUAAAAAGUGUAUAAAGUAUUCACCUUUCUCUGUUAGCUGCUUUUCUUUUCCUUCUUGCUUUGCCUGUUGUGGCAUAUAGUCCAAUUUUUCACACCUUGUUUAGACUUACUUGUUUACUGUAAUUCUACUGUUUUAAGUUUCCUACCUCCUUAAAUCCACAAAAUGCUUCUAGAAAGGAUUUCCAUGUAUUAUAUUUUGUUCAGAAAGCCUUAUCUCAGGCAGACAUAUUUGUCCAUUUUCUUUUUUAUAAAAAAAGUUUUAUAAUCAUUAUACAUGCAGAGUGUUGUUCCAAUAGACCAGGUUAGUAUCUCUCCAUGAAACCACACACAAUAAAAUAGUUUC